GGGUUAAACGUUGGUCAUAGUCGAGGCUAUUGAGUUAUGAGUAUUUUGAUUCGAAUCGAAUUUAUGAUUAUAUUAUAUAUAAAUAUUUGAAAAAAUUUGAUUUAUAUUGAAUCAGCAUAAAAUAUAUUUUUAUAUUUAUUUACAGUAUUAUUUUUAAAAAUUAUAUAAUAUCUAAAAUAUCUAAUUGAGAUAUUUGUUACUUACUAGGCUGUCUAGCUUAUUAUCUUUCUUUUUAUUUUUCAGAUUCAGAUAAUUAAUUGCGAGUAUGGGUAAUAAUAUUGGGACAGAGUUUUUAGAGACGAGACUUAGCAUUAUCAACUUCAUUGAAAUUAGAUCUAUUAUUUUAUUUUUAGUAAAAUUUUAUUGGAUGUAAGAUAUUUGAUUUAAUUAUUUGAAUUAAAGUUGAAUAAAAAUUAUUUGAUUUUAUUUUGCUGUGAUGCAUUGAUAUUGUGAUG
rnacentral:lncRNA from 1 species